ensembl:snRNA U4 U4 spliceosomal RNA
AGCUUUGUGCAGUGGCAGUAUCCUAGCCAAUGAGGUUUAACUGAAGCACAAUUAUUGCUAAUUGCAAUGUAUACACUUAACAUAGUUGUGAGACUUCCUCCUGCUUCAUUCAGCAACUUGUGAGUAGGAGUUGAAGAGGUCA